rnacentral:rRNA from 1 species
GUAGGGAAUAUUGGGCAAUGGAUGCAAGUCUGACCCAGCCAUCCCGCGUGCCGGAAGAAGGCCUUCGGGUUGUAAACUGCUUUUGUACGGAACGAAAAGCCCUGGGUUAAUACCCUGGGGUCAUGACGGUACCGUAAGAAUAAGCACCGGCUAACUACGUGCCAGCAGCCGCGGUAAUACGUAGGGUGCGAGCGUUAAUCGGAAUUACUGGGCGUAAAGCGAGCGCAGGCGGUUUUGUAAGACAGAGGUGAAAUCCCCGGGCUCAACCUGGGAACUGCCUUUGUGACUGCAAGGCUAGAGUGCGGCAGAGGGGGAUGGAAUUCCGCGUGUAGCAGUGAAAUGCGUAGAUAUGCGGAGGAACACCGAUGGCGAAGGCAAUCCCCUGGGCCUGCACUGACGCUCAUGCACGAAAGCGUGGGGAGCAAACAGGAUUAGAUACCCGGGUAGUCC